GAUGAACGCUAGCGGCAGGCCUAACACAUGCAAGUCGAGGGAUGAACCUUCGGGCUUCGACCGGCGUACGGGUGCGUAACGCGUAUACAAUCUGCCUUUCACAUAGGGAUAGACCGAAGAAAUUUGGAUUAAUACCUUAUGGUAUAUAGAUGUGGCAUCACCUUUAUAUUAAAGCUGAGGCGGUGAAAGAUGAGUAUGCGUUCUAUUAGCUUGUUGGAGAGGUAACGGCUCCCCAAGGCGACGAUAGAUAGGGGGUCUGAGAGGGUUAUCCCCCACACUGGGACUGAGCUACGGACCAGACUCCUACGGGAGGCAGCAGUGAGGAAUAUAGGACAGUGGUCGGGAGACUGAUCCAGCCAGGCCGCGUGCAGGAAGUCGGCCUUAUGGGUUGUAAACUGCUUUUGCAGGGGAAGAAUAAGGACUACGCGUAGUAUGAUGACGGUACUCUGCGAAUAAGCGUCGGCUAACUCCGUG
rnacentral:rRNA from 1 species